CCGUCGUCAUAGCAGAUAAACGUCCACUGCUGGAUAAAGGCCUCCAGGGGAGAUUUUCCUAUACUCACCGCGCUGGGCAUGCGUGUUGGUGAAAGCAGUGCGGGAUAUUUUAAGCUUCGAAGAUGCCAGAAUAUACCUGUUGAAGCGACCUGCAUCCAGCGUCUUCCGGCGUUCUUUACAAGGUCGUCUUUCCACCUUGUUGGUGGACGUCCUACGCUGCGCUUGCUAGUCCGUGGUCUCCGCUCCAGCACUUUUCGACCACAUCGGCUAUCUGCUCUGCGAGCAAUAUGGCAUGCCUAUUGCCACCUCAACUUGCUAAUCCAGUGGGCUAUAUCGGUAUGAAUCAGAAAUAUAAUAAAUGUUAAUGACAUAUCCACUCA